rnacentral:lncRNA from 1 species
GCCGGAUUUCCAGUGGGAGCAAUGUGUCCCGAGGUAAGACACUGCACACAGAAACUGAGCUCAGGUUUGGGGCAAUCGGUGAGUGAGUGGGCAGAAGAAGAGGGUUGGGUUUGCAGGGACAGGCAAUGGCUUCGCAGCACUUCAUAAGCGCAGUUGUGGCCACAGGCUCGCUCGUGUCAUUUUGUACGCAGUAAUGAAGCCUGACGAGAGGUCUCCUGCUUGCCGAUAGCCGGCUGUUGUCCUAAAAAUGCAAACCAUCGCCUCAGGCCAUGGAAUCGGGAACAGGCAGAGGACAGAGGCUCCGGCUGGGCCUCCCACUGCUAGCUCUCCCUUCAGCACUCCCGACUUGGACAGAGAAAGCUGGUCUUUACCCUUGUACAUAAGGACACAGAAGAAAGGGAUUUUUUAAGGUGUCCCAGAGGCCGAUGGUUUUAAUCCAGACUUUUUGCUGAGCAGAUAUUAAAGAUGGGGGAGGGGGGAUGGCUACCACCAAUCCUCACGUCCCCAUGUGUUUUCUCAUGCAAAAUAAGCUUUUUGAACUUGAAAGCUGCAUUUUCGCUUAGUUCCCCAGUGCCCCCCUCUCCCCCCUCCACCUCUAUCCUCUUUGUUUUCUCUAUAGAGUAGGCAAGUAAAUCGGACCCUCCCUCAGCAAGUCUUUUAACGACGGCUCAUUAAUAAUCGAUGGGCCUGGCGAACACAGGGGUUCACAGCUCCGGGGCGAGGCAGCCGCAGACCCCGCGCCACGUGGGAGACCCCGGCCUGGAGGAAGCCCCCGGGCCGAGGCUGGCGCGGCGGGGCCGCUGAUCUGGAGGCUGCGCCUAGACCCGCAGAUCCACGGAAAGCAGGCCAGGUCCGGGGCUGCCUGCCUGGACCGAGCUUAGCGAUGCAAACCGAGUCGUCCCUUUCCGCAGUGUUUGUUGUUUGUUUUUGUUUUCAAAUGCUGCCUUCCUGCUUCCCCAGCAGCCUGCCGGUCCUAAGACUGCAAAGACUUCCUUGACUUGGGGAAAGGCAAAUUUUGAGUGGUAACUUGUCCCCCAUUGGCUCUGAGGGUCUUUGUUGCCCACUGCUGGUAUUUCAGAAGCCCUCCUCCUCUCUUGUCAGUCUCCUUGGAAGCAAACCCUGAAGUUGGGAAAAAAAAAAUGCAUGCUGUUUCCUUGUGUUUUUAGGCAUCUAUUAUUUCUAUGGAAUUCUUGACAGACAACAAAAGAUUAAAAAAAAAACUGUCGAUUUUUGCUGUCAAGGAAACAAGCUGUUCUCCCCAUUUAAGGCUCCCUUGGUAAACCUGGUUAGAAACUUUAUUAAGAAUUGAUGAAUAUAGUCAGUCUCUCACAGAAGUCACCUGGAGCUGUUUCUAGAUCUCCGCUAUACGGAGAGCUUGAUGAAUCCCUGAAAGUGAAUCCCGGCUGGAUGAAUGACCCUGGUUUUCUGAAAGGCCUGGUGGAAGGGGGCUGACCCAGGUGGGGCUUUCACGUGGUGGAUGCCCUUGUGCUGCUCUGGAAUAGGAACAAGAGCACUAGCCCCUCACACCUGUGUAGCGUUUCCUGGUUCAAGAGCCCUUUCAAAGGAACUAUCAACUUUGCUCCCCUGUAACCCGGCGGGAAGGUAGAACAUGCCGAUCAGGUGGGCCACAAGGAAGUGACAGGGAGACCUCCAACUUGCUGCCCCCUUAGGGUUGCAAGUAAUGGUAGCAUGUAACCCCUUCUCUAUAUGUUUCCAUCUUCCUUUGACACAUUUUUCUCUUUAUUCACCAUUACGUAUUUGUUAAUUACUUUCCUUAAAUUGCUACUUUCCAGGGAAAUGAGGCAGGUAUUCUGGGUCAUUCUCCUUGCUGUGUUCAUAUCCCUGUUGAUUCUAUCUCUUCUUGGUUAAGAGUCAAUCGGUCCCACGAACCCCUGUGAUUUCAGUAGGACUUAAUGAACUUGAAUUGUGACCACAUUGGUAGGACUCUGUUUAUGUUUACACAGUGGUUUUAACUUUGUUGUCUGACAGCAGUAAUUUGUAUAUCUGGACCCACAAAACGGAGGCCACCCCAGUAGCCCGGCCCAUGUCACACAUCUAAACCUAAGUCAGCCUGCACUUAUGGGAAAUAUUUUGCUCUUGGGGAAACCUACCACCCACCAAUCACAAUUCUCCAACUCAGCUCUAGCUAGUUUAACUUACCCUAGAAAGUAGGCCCUCAUGGGGUGCCUGGGUGUCUCAGUUGGUUGGGUAUCCAUGACUGAUGACUGAGGUCAUGAUCACUCAGUGGGUUCAAGCCCUGAGUCGAGCUCUGUGCUGAUAGCUCAGAGCCUGGAGCCUGCUUCGGAUUCUGUAUCUCCCUCUCUCUCUGCCCCUCCCCCACUCACAUUCUGUCUCUCUCUCAAAAAAUAAAUAAACCUUUAAAAAAAUAAAUAAAAAAGAAAAAGAAAGUAGGCCCUGCUGGCUCUAUAAGGAAAUCCCCGGCCGCCUAGCCAAUUCCGCCUUGUAUCCGUGUUCUGCUUCUGAUGCUCUUUGAAACUUGCUCUUGCCCAAAAUCCCUCGAGAAGAGUGGCCCACUGUUUAUGAGGCAAUGUACUACUCCAAUUCAUUAAUUAUUUCCCCUUGGAUAACGAGUAUCAGACUUGUUAUUAAAUUGUAUUACUUUUGUUAUUUGACAACCUUCAUAGCAAUCCUGUGAAGUAGGGAUUUUCAACAUCCUUAUCAGAUGAGGCAGCUAAAGCUCAAGAAAGUUACGAAUUUUCUCUUCCCCCUGUUGUCAUGCUGCUACUUGCCUGGCAACUAGGGCAUGUUCACAGAUGUACAAAGCUUAUCGUCUAUUUGGGGGAAGCCUGUAAGCCAGCAGUUAAGCUGUGGUAUGUACCCCCAGAAUCAUAAUUCAAGGUAGAAUUGUAGUCCUCUGAAAAGAAUAUGAGCUAAGUACUGUAUCAUUUCAGAGUAGGGAGAGAUUCCUUUUAAUGGAAGGAACAUAUAGAGUGGUUGGUCAAAGUCAUGGUCCUUGGUAUCACAGGGACUUGAGCUGAAUCAGCUUCAUUAUUUGGUGGCUGUUGAUAUUGGACAAAUUAUUUAACCUAAGUUAAUAAUUAAAACUUAAUCUAAGUUUUAGAUUCCUCAUCUGUAAAACUAAGUUUGUUAUACUUACUGCAUUUCCAUGGGGAUUAAAUGAGAUAAUCCAUGUAACUCAUGGGGACUAGAUAGAGUGAGGACUCAAAAAAUGGUGGCAAUUGUUGGAAUACUCUGCAUGCUUGGGAUUUUGACAGCUAGAGAUGGGGCAGAUGAUGACAUUUCUGUCUUUCUUUUCUUUUCUUUUCCUUUUUUUUUCUUCCAAGUGUGAUGGAAAGAAUUUUAAGAAGGGGUAAGCAGGUUGUAUUUACAUUUUAUAUAAAUCACUUUCUGACAUUUUCUGCUUCAUAGUCCUAAAAUUGCACUGUGUGGUACAAGUCGCUUGCAAAGAAGGUAAUUACCAAGAUAGUUUACAAUUUGACCAGUACAUUACAAAGCACUAUUACCUCUUCUCUACAACAGUUUCAAUAGAUAUUGUUGUCUCCUAUUAAUAGAGGAGAAAAUAGAAGCCCAAGAAGAAAAAUAACUUGUUUCCGGUCACACUUUUAGUAGCCGGACCAGAUUCCUUCCUUUUUCUGAUUCUUGUUCACGACUUCUUUCCUUGAAACUAUUCUAUGUCUCUUUUGCCUAACAUUUUCAGUAUACUAGGCAUUGCUUCAAGUACAUUAUACAUUUUAAGUCAACUAACCUGUACUGCAUUUCCUUGAAGUUGGUACUUUUGUUAACCUACAGGUAAGCGGGUGGGGACAGGGAAGGCAAGUGACUUGCCCAAGGUUUCUUAGCAUGUGCUGGACCUCUGCUUGGCACUGUUCCCAUGAAAUUGUGCAUCCCCUGGUUGCGUGCUCCGUGACCUCCAGUUUCUCUUCUAUGAUUCCUUCCACCUUGUUCCAAACCGAAUAAGAACCAGCCUGAGGUGAACAGGUCGUCAAUAGGUGUCUGCGACACUGGGCAGCUCACCUCGCAAGGAGACAACAGCCGCGAGUAUUUGAAUUGCUCUGUUGCACACUUUCCAGGCUCCCUGUGACCAGGAGAGACAUGGCUUAGCAGAGAGGCCGCACAAGUGAAGGUGCUGGGGCAGCUGGGGUGGGGAGAUCAUGGGAUUUGAAGUAAAUAGAGCUGGGAUGAAGACCAGUGCAGCCAUAGGCACUUGCUCUUCCGGAACCCUAAGCAAAUCAUUGACAUUUUGAGGGGGGUCUAUGCUAUGUCUGAAUUGCUAUGUCUGAAAAAAACUGGGAGUAAUAUGAGCAUUUUCCCACCUGCCUCACACAUUGUUCUCAGGAUAAAAUAAAGCAGUGUAUGAAUAUGCAAUGUGAAGACUCUACAUUGUAUAUAAAUAGGAAGCACCAAAGGCCUCCAACCAUUUUUAAUAUCAAAUAAAAUCCUGAUUUGUCUAGUUGUCUAGAAUGACGAGUGGAAAUAAUUUGUUUCUGUAACUGAACCCAGAUUAGAUCUCUGGACACCACCCUUCUAUUAACGCACCUUGAUUUUUGAAUCCAUGGAAUUAUUUUCACUUCCACGUCUUUUAAUGAUUGCAUCACAUUCCUCAUUUUAGGAGAGAAUCUGAACCCACAGGUCUCAUCAGCUUAACACCUUUGUCCAAAGAAAAAAGAGGGGACACUUUCCUGGUUUGUAACAUUAACUGAUAACUUUAGUCAAUGUGGCCCUCUCACCAGGGUAUAGGAUAUAGGAUAAGGUCACAUUCAUUUUGUUAUUCAAAUUAUAGUAGCUGUGUUCCAUCCAGUUUCCUCUUUCCCCAUGGGGUUCCAUGAAAAAACCAAGACCCUUAGAAAUUUACUCAGUCCAAAGAGCUUAGUCUCCAUAGAUACAUCACUUGACAAAGGAAGAAACUGGAACAUCUGGUCUAAUGGCAGAAGAGCCCCUUUCUCUGCUGCUGUUGUUGCCAUCCACAGCAAACCCUGCAAGUUGAGGAGCUGAUAUCCUGCCUAUUGACAAGCUGCUCUGUCAGGAUUGUAAUGGGGUCACUGGUGGUUUGUCAGCAUGAGGAUCCGGGAAGGGAGGAGAGCCCCUUCCUGCCCCAGGAUUCCUGAGCCUCCGGGGUGAGAGCCCCACGUGAGCAGCAAUCUCAGUCCUCACGCCCACAGCACUGCCCUGGGGCUGCAAUAGUUCCAGAGCCACCAUCAGAAGGGAGUUGAGCCUUGGCCACUUUGGGGGGCCUAGGACCAGUCCUCCUCUCCAGCAAUCCUGGUACCAGGGUUUAGUCACUGCUUUGGGACUCUCCUUUCCUUCUAAUGACUUUCCUCCUCAGGGUCCUUUUGUUUCUCCUGCAGCCUAGUGCAAGGGUUGUCAAACUACAGCCUGUGGGCCACAUCAGCCUGCUGCUGUUUUUGUAAAUAAAGUUUUAUUGGAACACAGCUAUGCUCAUUUGCUUACAUAUCUUCUAUGGCUGCUUUCAUACCGAGGAGUGGAGGACCUAUGGUGACACGCUGUGGCCUACAAAGCCUAAAAUGUCCACCACCUGGCCCUUUGUGGAAAAAAUGUGUUCAGACACCCGUGACCAUCAAAAGUGUCAUAGUGACAUUGAUUAUGGCAGUAAAAUGUUCUUCUACAAGGUUCUGUAGUCAAAUAAAUGGAAGGAUGUAAAUGAGUGCAUGUGUGAGGGAUAGCGCCAAUCAUCAAAGCAGCUACACUCCAGGUUCUUGUCAAACCACCAUCGGCAAUUCUUUUAUACUCUGUCCCCAGCCGCAAUGAUUUUUCCCCCAGAACAAAGAAGAUGAGCUCUAAGUUGAUUUGAGAUCUCCACUUCCAGAAAUAGAAAUAGGUACCAAGUUUUAAAUAGAGAACAGCCUGACUCAUCAGUAUCCCAAACACACGCCCAGGGAUAGGAAAUGCUAUCAUAGGGAACAGCCAAUGGCUUCUCAAAAUAAAUAAGUGCUCGUACUCAGAGUAGUAGUAGUCACGUCAGGUGCCUUUUGGACUACUAAAAGAUAAAGAGACAUGAAAUCAAACUUUUUUGGAAGAUUUUGUGAACGGUAAUCUUCAUAUUGAAAAACAUUCACGAGAAAAGCACUAGAGUCAUGUUGACCCAACUAAUUAAAAAUGAGAAGAUUCACAAUGUAGUUGGCUUUUCCUCUCUUGCUUCAUGAGCCUUGUUGUCCAACAGCCUGAGCUAAACAUGCUGUGUCAAUCUUCUCUUUUACAUUUCCUGGGUGUUUUCUUCUGAGAUUCUGCAACAACCCUGUCAUUAUUUUAAAUAUUUUUGCCUGUAAAUUUCAGAAUACUUGAUCUGAUUUUAAUAGGAUCCAUGUGUGAAAUCCUUUAUUUUUUUUUCAUCUAUCGUUCUGAUUCUUUCUGCUCUUUAGUACAGCACAGCUUGGUAGCACUAGGUACGUCUUGUUGAAAGUAUGUCCAUAAAUAUGUCCCUUGCAGCAUGGAACAGCUUGUUAAAUUGGCAGUCCUCAGCAGUUUGCCUAGAAAAGUUUGCCUCACUUGCGAUAGUCCAAAUGUAGGGCAGAACACAGCGUAACUUUUUAUCUAAUUUUACCAAUUGACAUAUUCUUCAAAUUUUUAACUACCUCGUGUCUUUUCCUUACAGUGCCGACACCUGACUUUAAAGUGGCUAAAUGUUCUCCCAAUUGCCAAAUGUGGAUAGGGAAAUUACCUUUUAUUACUGGAUAUUAAUCUGGGGAGAAAUUAAAGAAAAUAACACAAUAAUUUAAAACAGGAUGCUAAAUACACUGUGGGAAAUGCAUCCUGAAUGGCUGGGGCCACUGCUUUCUAUUCCUUAGGUGGGAUUGGUGUUGUUCUUCUUUAUGGCAAGGGUGGGGCUCACUAAUUUUAAUUUUUCAAGUUUUGUUGAUAUCCUUUAGUGGUAUACAGUACUUAGUAAUACCCCCCCCCCCCCCCCCCUUGUUUUGGAGAAAGAGAGGGCGAGUGGAGGAGAGGGGCACAGAGAGAGAGAGAGAGAGAAAGAGAGUAGAGAGAGAGAGAUAGAGGGAAAAUCUUAAACAGGCUCCAUGCUCAGUGCAGAGCCUGAUACAGGGCUUGAUCCCACGACCCUGGGAUCACAACCUGAGCCAAAGUCAAGAGUCAGACACUCAACCAACUGAGACACUCAGGCACCCCUAAGAUACACCAUUAUUGAGACUGAUACACUUUGGGAUUUUAUUGGUAUGCUCUGAUUUUCAGCUCUCGCUGGUUAGGAUCCUGUUAGAACUAGGAGUGACAAAUAUAGAAGGACUUUCAAUCCAUAAUUUAAUGUCACAAGGAUGAGCCUUCAAUGCCACAGCCCUUUGCCCUCACCUCUGUGAGAGGAGGCCAGGUUCUCUCCCUCCCUAUGUCUAUAGAACAUAGUCAGGCAGCACGUAUGUCUUCAGGCCUCAGAACACCAGAAAAACUCCUCGUCAGCCUGUAAUUACACUAUUUACAAUGUACCAAACCUUUUCCUGGGGGGAAACCGCACAACAAAACAAGACAAAACAAAGCACAUAUCUGAAUGUGGCAUCGGUGAAGGGACCCACAGCUUUGUGUUCAGUAACCCUGUUUUGGUGGCCACACCCUCCAGAUGGCCCUAAGUGCUUUCAGGAAGUUGCCUGAAGAGAAUGCAUUUUCCAUGCUUACUCCCUGUCUUCAGAUUUUAUCACUCAGCAGAGUAUUUGCCUGUUUAUGACAAAUUUAUUAGAAAAUAUCAUUGCUGGAACAAUUCUUGAAGAAAGCCUUCUUAGAAAUCCAAAGUGGACUUUUUAGCAAAAUGACACAUACUUUUCCACCUUCUUCUUCUUUUUUUUAAAUGUUUAUUUAUUUUUGAGAGAGAGAGAGAGUAAGUAGGGGAGGGGCAGAGAGAAAGGGGAGCAGAGGAUCGGAAGCAGGCUCCACGUGACAGUAGAGAGCCCAACACAGGGCUCAAACUCACUAACUGUGAGAUCAUGACCUGAGUCCAAGUUGGAUGCUUAACCGACUGAGCCACCAGGUGCCCCUCCACCUUUUAAACAUGCUUUCCCAGCUGCAGGUGAGUAAGGACCACUGCAUUUAGAUCAUUUUAGUUUUACUGAAAUUAUGUGAGACAUAGACUCGCCUUUGAUUUUCAGAGGUGAACAUUUAUAUUCCACACCUCUCUCAAGGGUAAGAGACAGAAUCUGAAUCUCUUAGUAUUUCUUAAAAGUGGGGGAUUGGAGUUUUACUGACUUCAGAAUCAUCCUGGGUAGAAGUUACAAGUGCACAUUGCUGGGAUUCACUUCUAACUCACUGAAUCAGAGCCACUAAGGUAGUAUUGGGGUAAUUCUGAUGCAUAUGAAAAAUUUGAGAGCAUCACAUCCAUUGCCCUGUACAUAGCUGGUGUUCAAUAUAUUUGUGUGUGUGUGUGUGUGUGUGUGUGUGUGUGUGUGAAGGGAAUAAAAAUAUUCCAAGGAAAUUUAAAAAAUUAUUCAAAUAUAGUACUGUUUAAAAAAGAAUUAAAUGUCCUUCAGGCUUUAUGUUGAUUUAACCAUGUUAAAACUGUGACCAAAGACAUUCUAAAUUGUGGAACUGUGGUUGAUAAUUGAAAGAGAAAAUCUCUUGGCAUCUUGAAGAAUAUUUUCUAAUACUCUUAGAGGGGUCUGUAAAGCACAUUUAAAAUAACUAUCCUGGAUCACUUUAUUAUUUUUUUAAUUAGAAAAAUUUAAUUAUUGCCAAAAGCUAUUUGCUGGAAUUAUAUAAAAAUGUUUACAGAUGCCUUAGGAAGAAAACAGCAGAAUGUGGAACUAAUUGUGUUGAUUCAAGAUAAUUAUGAAACACAAAUGACCAUUACUUACAACAAGUCCCCUGACAACCAAGGGUUGACUCCAGGGAUCAGGCUCAAAUGAAGGAAAUAAUAAUAAUAAUAAUAAAAGAGUGGUGAUAUACUUAUGUGGUAAUAAUCAAAGUAGAAAAUGUGCCCUAUUCCCAAGUUAAUAAAGGCCUUUAGCGACAUUUCAGUUUUUCAGUUACACAAGCUAUAUUUUCACUAAGUAAAGCUUCUUCCCCCACCCCCUAACUUCAAAGGAGUAUCUUGUUUUUAAAAAUCUUGAAUUCCUAUCGCAUUGACUCUUGGGAAUACGAGGUGAAUGAAUUACGUUUCCUGACUUUCCCUUAUGGUGGAGAGAGACAUAUUUGGGUAUGAAUUGUUUUCAUUUCUUUUCCAUCCUAGAUUUUCAGUGAGAUUUCAUGCCAGGGUUGCAGGUAAGAGCCCAGAAGAGACUUUCUGGGUGCUAUAAGAUGUCUUGGCACAAAAGACCUGAGCAACUAUCAUCGGGGUGUUUGCAGGUGGUCCCCAACCUAUGUGGACUUCUUGUUCUAUUGUGAUUUGAUCAUGCUUUAUUUAGACUAAAAGGUAGAAUCAAAAACACAGAAAAGGCCAGAAACUUCUAUUGGGAAUCACCACCAAUAAGAAAUGUUAGAGGACCAAACAUGAUUUUGAGUCUUCUAUUGAACAAUAACAUCUUGGAGAGAGACUCUAACACCUUUGUAGGAAAACAGUCAGGUUUCAAUUUCACAUUACUAAACUGAAAGACAAGCUGUAAAUCAACAUGUAAGUCACCAGAUCAACAGUGUGUAAUAGAAAUAGAAGGUGAGCCACAGAUACAAUUUAAAAUGUACUGCUAGCUACUUCAAAAAAAGUAGAGAGAGACAGGUGAGAGUAAUUUAAUAUUUUAUUUAACCCAUUAUUUCCAGAAUAUCAUUUUAACAUUUAAUGACUAUAAAGAUCGUUAAUGAGAUAUUUGACAUUCUUUCAUCAUACUAGGUCUUCACAUGUCACUUUGAAUUAGCCAAAUUUCAAGUGUUCAAUGGCCACAUGUGGGUAGUGGCUGCCAUAUUGGACAAGUUAGCCCUGGACUGUUAAUCUUGCAUCCAUGUAUUAGUUCUCUAAGAGGGACUCUUUUGAAGGAUGAAUUAUUUCAAAGGCUGUAAAAUGUUGUCAUUUCCAUGUGAUCUUAAGAUGAGUAUGUGUCAGUGAAUGACCAGGAGUGACAGUGGGAAAUGUGCUUUCUGUUGAUGUAUUUGAAAGUUACCCUUGGGUUUUCCCAGGCUGCAGAGGCUGACCUUUUCCAGCACUGUUACUUGUUCAGUUGCUGCAUUUACUAGGUUGGGCUGUCAGACAGACACUGCAAAUUGCAAUGUGCUAUGGCUGUGCUGGACUGUUGGACCGUUGGAUGAUACUUUAAGAUGUCUUUACUCUCUGCUAGUGGCUGUCUCACUGCAGCUUGCUAUCUAGCAACUGCUUAUGCCUCCUCUGCCAAAGAUGCUGAGCCAGUGGACUUGUCUCAUUCUAGGCUUUCACUAUUGGCUAGUAACUGGACAGAGAUCUCAAGGAGCCAGACGUGGUGUUCAUGGCAAAUGUGAGUCUCAUAGGCAGAGUGAAGGUUGGGCAAUACCGUGACUCAGUGUUUAGACUUAAUCUCAAUCUGGAGUGUUACACAUCAAUAAUAUAUUAUUGACUUAGAAACAUACCAGCUUUCUUGAACUGUUUUCAUUCAUUUCUGGAUUUCAAGUUCAGAAAGUUGAUAAUUAUAUAUCAUAUAAUUCAUGACACCAUAUCAUUGGUUUGCACAGGUUUCUGUCAACCAACUGACUGAUUCACUUAUAUGUCACCUAUCUCUCUAUCAACUGUCCAUCCAUGUUUUUAUCAGUCCAUCUCAUUUGAUUCCCAUUUUUCAACUUCUGUCAUUCUGGUUCUUUCUCUUAUCACAAACAGUCAUAUUAAUAUGUUUAAUGAUAUCUUUUUGUUUUCAUGUUUUUAUAAGACAUUUGUUCGUGCAUUCUAGUUUAUACAAGUGUCAUUAUGUUACACAGAUCAUUCUAUUUUCUUUUUAUCAUUAUAGCCUAUUGAUUCUAAGACCUAUCCAUAUAGCUAUGUAAACAUUCAGCUAUUUGUUUCUAAUUACUGCAGAAUACUUCAUAGUUGGUAUCUACCAUGUUUAACCUGUCCACCAGCAAUAGACUCCAUGAUUGCCUCACACCAUGACAAACAGCACUGUGAUAAAUAUCAUGGAGGAUGCCCCCCUUCCCCGCCCUAUCCCCCCCUCCCCACUGUAUGAGAAUAUUUUUGAGAAUUGUAUCCAGGAAGAGUACUAUUUGUCAUAGGGAAUAAUUAAUUUAACUAAGUACUACCAAGUUGCUUCCAGAAUGUCUGCACUGGUCUAUGCUUAAAUCAUCAGGCAUAUGAAGGUUUUCAUGUAGCCAUAUGCUCAACAAUAAUGGCAUUAUUCAGCUUUUCAAUUUCAAUCAACCUAAUGAGUUUCUUAAACUUUUUUAUGCUAUCAUGUCAAAGUGUAUGGUAAAACAUAAAAUUGGGAAGCAAACCAAGGUGAUAAAAUCCAGUUUUCUAUUCUUUUUGAAAAACAUUUGACCAUGUGCUGGUUGAUACAGGCCUAGAGAUAAGUCACUAUGCUUAAUAAAAGUAGUGAGAGUGGGAAUCCUUGUUUUGUUUCUGAUCUUAGAGGAAAAGCUUGAAGCUUUUCACCGUUAACUAUGGUAUUAGCUGUGGGUAUGUCAUAAAUGGGCUUUAUUAUGCUGUGGUACAUUCUGUUCAUACCCACUUUGUUGAGAAUUUUUGAUCACAAAUAGAUACUGAAUAUUGUCUAAUGCUUUUUCUGCAUCUACUGAGAUGAUCAUAUGAUUUUUAUCUUUCAUUUUGUUAAUUUGGUGUAUUGUGUGGAUUGAUUUGCAGAUGUUAAACCAUCCUUGUAUCUCUGAAUUAAGUUCCACUUGAUCAUACUGUAUGAUCGUUUUAAUUUAAUGUAUUAUUGAAUUCAGUUUGCUAAUAUUUUGUUGAGGAUUUUUGCAUCUGUGUUCAUCAGGGAUAUUGGCCUGUAAUUUUUGUGGUGUUUUGUCUGGUUUUGGUAUCAGGGUAAUUCUGGCCUCAUAAAAUGAAUUUGGAAGUGUUCCCUCCUCUUUAAUUUUUUGGCAGAUUUUGAAAAGGGUAGGUGUUUUCCAGAGCGGCUGCACCAACAGUGUGGAGGUUCCUCAGAAAAUUAAAAAUAGACCUACCCUAUGACCCAGCAAUAGCACUGCUAGGAAUUUACCCAAGGGAUACAGGAGUACUGAUGCAUAGGGGCACUUGUACCCCAAUGUUCAUAGCAGCACUCUCAACAAUAGCCAAAUUAUGGAAAGAGCCUAAAUGUCCAUCAACUGAUGAAUGGAUAAAGAAAUUGUGGUUUAUAUACACAAUGGAAUACUACGUGGCAAUGAGAAAAAAUGAAAUAUGGCCUUUUGUAGCAACGUGGAUGGAACUGGAGAGUGUGAUGCUAAGUGAAAUAAGCCAUACAGAGAAAGACAGAUACCAUAUGGUUUCACUCUUAUGUGGAUCCUGAGAAACUUAACAGGAACCCAUGGGGGAGGGGAAGGAAAAAAAAAAAAAAAAGAGGUUAGAGUGGGAGAGAGCCAAAGCAUAAGAGACUGUUAAAAACUGAGAACAAACUGAGGGUUGAUGGGGGGUGGGAGGGAGGGGAGGGUGGGUGAUGGGUAUUGAGGAGGGCACCUUUUGGGAUGAGCACUGGGUGUUGUAUGGAAACCAAUUUGUCAAUAAAUUUCAUAUAUAAAAAAAAAUAAAAUAAAAUAAAAUUGUCAUUUAUUUUCAAAAAAAAAAAAAAAAGAAAAGGGUAGGUGUUAAAUCUUUGAAUGUUUGGUAGAAUUCACUAGUCUGAUCCUGGACUUUGUUUCUUGGGAGGUUUUUUAUGACUAAUUCGAUCUCUUACUAGUAAUCAGUCUAUUUAAAUUUUCUAUUUCUUCCUGACUCAGUCCUGGAAUAUUGUAUAUUUCUAGGAAUUUAUCCAUUUUUUCUAGGCUGUUCAGUUUGUUGGCAUAAAAUUGUUUGCUUAUGAUCCUUUGUAUGUCUAUGAUAUCAACUGUAACUUCUCCGCUUUCAUUUUGAUUUUAUUUGAGCCUUCUCUCUCUCUCUUUUUUUUUCCCCCUUGGUGAGUCUACCUAAAAGUUUGUCAUUUUAGUUGAUCUAUUCAAAGAACCAGCUUUUAGUUUCAUUGAUGUCUUUUUAGUCUCUUAUUUCUAUUCUGAUCUGUAUUGUUUCCUUCCUUCUACUAACUUUGGGCUUCAUUUAUUCCUUUUCUAGUUCCUUUAGGUAUAAAUUUAGAUUAUUUGUUUUGGAUUUCUCUUAUUUAUUGAGCUAUUUAGAUUUCUCUUAUUUAUUGCUCUGAACGUCCCUCUUAGAAUGGCCUUUGCUGUAUCCCAUAGAUUUUGGUAUGUCAUAUUUCUGUUUCUAAAUAUUUUUAAAUUUCUCCUUUUAUUUACUUGAUGAUCGAGUGGCUGUGCAGUUGCAUGUUGUUUAAUAUUCAGGUUUUUUGUUUUUUCCAGUUUUCUUCUGUCCCCAUUUAGGUCUGUUAAUAUUUGCUUUCUAAUUUUGAUGGUUCUAUGUUGGGUGAAUAUAUAUUUAUAAAUGUGUAUCUUCUUGCUAGAUUGGCCUCUUUAUCAUUAUUUAAUGCCAUCCAUUGUCUUUUAUUACAGUCUUUGUUUUAAAGUUUAUUUUGUCUGAUAUAAGUAUGGCUACAUCAGCUUUCUUUUAAUUUUCUUUGCAUGGAAUAUAUUUUUUUCAUCCCUUAACUUUCAGUCUCUGUGUGUCUUUAAAUCUGAAGUGAGUCUCUUGUAGGCAGCAGUCUCUUUUUUUAUCCAUUCAGUCACAGCCUUUGACUGGAAAAUUUAGUCCAUUUACAUUUAAAGUCGUUAGUAGUUAGUUGUAGGUAUGUCAUUUAACUUAACUUAUUAACUUAACAUUAACUUAUUGACAUUACAAAUUUUUUUUAAUGUUUAUUUAUUUUUGAGAGAGAGAGAGAGAAAUCAGGCAAGGGGUAGAGAGAGACACACACACAGAAUCUGAAGCAGGCUCCAGGCUCUGAGCUGUCAGCACAGAUUCUGAUGCAGGGCUCAAACUCAUGAGCCAUGAGAUCAUGACCUGAGCCAAAGUUGGAUGCUUAACUGACUGAGCCACCCAGGUGCCCUGUACUUAUUGACAUUUUUAAAAAUUGUUUUAUGGCUGUUUUUGUAGUUCCUCUCUGUUCCUUUCUUCUUCUCUCUCUUCCCUUGUGGUAUGAUGAGUUUGUUCAGUGUUUUGUUAAGAUUCCUUUCUCAAUUUCUUUUGUGCAUUUACUAUAUGUUUUUGAUUUGUGGCUACUGUGAGGUUCACAUGUAACAUCCUAUGUAUAUAACAGUCUAUUUAAAUUGAUAGCAGCUUAAAUUUGAACACAUUCCAAACUCUACGUUUUUACUCACCCCAUCCUCAUAUUUUAUAUUUUUGAUGUCACAUUUUACCUCUUAAUCAACAGCCUGGUUUGUUCUUGAUGUGUCCCUGUUGUUGAGGGUAUGCCAAGACCUGUCUGUGUUCCUAGGGGAGGAAUCUCAUUUAGCACCUAGUUUCAGGCUGAUGAGAAGCCAGAGCCUCAGGCAGCAGCUUUUAAAAUAUGCAAAUAUACACAGUCCUGUGGGACCACAAUUGUAAACCCUGUUGGCCUCCAGACCAGGAGAUCUGGAGGUUGCCCCUGGGUGAUGGUUGCAAAAAUUGGAACUCCAGAUGUGUGGGUAAGCUCCUUUCUGAGAGGUAUUCGCCAAGGGAGUGUGCCAUGAUGGUGUCACUCUGCUCACAUUCCUAGGAGUACCUCCAUAACCUCUAGAUGUGUGAGAAAACGGAAUCCUUGCUCCUUAGGGUGAAGGUACAGGAUAAAAGAAUAGGCCUUUUUCAAGGGAAGACUGGGGUCGUGUUUCAGUUUGCUGUCUGUGCAGAGCCCUGGGCAGGGGGGAGGGGCUGCCAAGACUAUCCUGAUUGUUACAAUCUCUUGGAGCUCAGGAACUCCAGCCCCCUUGGCCACAAGGGCCAGGCAAACAUGGCAUCCCCUGUGUGGUUUAUGUGGACCAGCCAUCUUCAGUAGGGCAGCUGGAAAUAUAGGGGCUGGGGCACAUUCACCGGCUUCAGAAAAGGCAGUGGGAAAAUGUCUUGACUGUUUGGCUUCAGCAAUGCUGGAGGAGAAUGCCUUGACUAUGGGUAUAUGCUUGCCCCAGGAUAGAGGUUGAAGAAUGCCAUGACUGCUCCUAUUUGCCAGCCCCAGCCAGGGUGCAGGGUGAGUGUUGCAACUGCCCAUGCUCACCAAUGUUAGCAAGGGACUGGAAGAAUGCUAUUACAAUCAUUGGUGCUCACUUGCCCCAGCCAGGGAGCAGGGCAUCACUGCAGCUGCCUCCACUCUGUGGCCUUGGCCAGGCAGCGAGACAGUGUCAUGACCACUUACCCCUUCCUGACUCAGCGAGGCAGCGGGAGGAUGCUGUGCCCGAAUAUACCACCAGCACUAGUGGGAUAGGUGGAGAGCACACAAAUGGAAUCCACCAGUACUUCCAUCUCUGGAGAGCACUCCCAACUGCCCCCUGCCCCUCCAGCAGAUUCCCCCAGGCCAGAAAAUGAAUCUUCUUUAUAUACAGUUGAGGCACUUUUCAAAUCAGUGCUUUUUCACCAGAUCCUAGGGUGAGAGAGACUGCCCACAAGCUAUUUAACAAGAGAAUCUGUUUUUAUAGCAUUUUGCAUCCCUUGGACAUUAGCCCCAUUGAUUUUCUAAGCCAGACAUUUUUGGGGGCUUCUAUCUCUGAUGUAGAUCCCAAGGGUUCUGGUGUCUGAUUUGGGGGACCAAUCCCUCACUCCGCUGGGAGAAGUGCCAGACAUGUGAGAUCCCUCUUUACUCUGCAUCGAGGCACAGGGGUAGGGUUUUUGGUGGAACUGUGUCUCUACCUCUCCUACUCAUCUCGAUGUAGUAGUUCUUUUAUCCUCUUGUGGAGAAGCAGUUGAAUUAGCUUUCAGAGGGAAAUGAUCAGUAUGUAGCUGUAGAUUUGAUAUGUCCAUGGGAGGAAAUGAGUUCAGAAUCUUCUCAUGUUGCCAUCUUGAAUCCCACUUCUCAUUCAUCAUUUUAAAUAGCUUCCUUAUGUCCAUGCACUUAACAAACUUUCAGUAAACAUUUGUUGAGUGAAUAAAUGAGUAAAUGAAUGGCAAAAUAGAGGGCUAUUAACUUGCAUGCCAUGUAAAGGCAAAAGAGUGUGUCUGUUACUCUGUAAUAUGAGUGACAGUGAUUAUGGGAAGGUGAGAACAGGAUCUAAAGACAGUAAAUUAGAGGAUAUGUACAAAAUGAAAAAAUUACAAAUAGCACAAUUUAUACACAUAUUCUCUUAGAUAUUUAUUCAUAAUUAGGUUCAUUGUAAAAUAAUUUCAGAAAUUAUCUUACACAGUUGGUAAACACUACUCUUUGGAGUUUUAAGAAAGUCCUUACCAUUUGAACGAAAGUACAAGGUCAUUCCAUAAUUUGUUACCAGUAUGAGAUUCAUCUUCAUGCACUCACUUCCCAACUGCACAACUUACUGACUGAGAACUACUGUCAGUUUUCCAGUCCAUUCUUUAACACCUUACAAGAGACCUUGCAAAAAAUUCUAAACCUUCCCUUCCGACUUUGGAUCACUCUCAGUUCAGAAGCUGUAAUGCGGUGUGUGCUUCUCAAGGCCUAAGCUUUGGUCCUGCCCUUCAAAAUCAGGCAUUAGCUCAUCUCCAGCUUAGGGUGCUGAGAGAAAUUCCACAGUCAAAGGUAGAUUGGUUAAAGCUAAUAAGAGUCUAAAAACCUAUGAAGACAAUAGAUAAUGUAGCAAGUCAAAAUUGCAGAAGUCGUUACCACUGAGUAUUCAGGAAGAAAGAGGUAGAGCUAAGCACAUGGACCAGAGAUGUGAGACAUUUGCCUACCUUAGUAAAAAUAAAGGACCAACAAUACUAGAUUCUGCCAGAUGUUUGACAUUACAUCAGAAAGAUGCUGAAGUUAGCACCACAACACGCUUUGCUCACAAAGGUUGGCAGAUUCUGGGAUGAGAGAUCCAGAUGGCUGAGGGUGUGGCUAGUUGUGCUGGGGCUAGAAGCUCUUGGCCACGUGUCUUACCUCCAGAUAUUUUGGGCAAACCUAGAACCAUCCCACCUCCAUUCAGGCAAAAAUAGAGAAGGCCAGAAGGUUGUUUUGCAUGCUUCCCUUCCAUUAUCUGAUUGCUGAGCACCCAGUUUCUCCAGGUUUUCCAAUUUUCAUUGGAAAAGUCAACAAGUAGAGGCUACAGUAGAGCCCAAACAGCAAAGAGCAGAAUGAGCUGAUCUGGUCUUUUUAUCCCUUCCCAGACUGUGGCACUGAUCCUGGAGCUGCACUCAGGCCGGGAGGGAUAUUCUUCCUUUGCCUCAUUUCCUCACAUCGUGAGGAAUUAAGGGAUAAUAUGGACUUUCCACUUUUAUGGGUUGGCCAAUACUUUAAUGAGAUCAGAUCCCUUUGACUCUUGUUAAAUUAGUAAAUGAAAAAGUAGUUGAGGGGCAAAUUAAUCUCUUGUAGCAGUUUUGCCCUUCUAGCAGAUAUUAGUUAAGGGUUUUAGGGGCAACGGAUGAUUUUCUUUAAAAAUUUUUUUUCUUUUAAUAUUUAUUUAUUUUUGAGAGAGAGACAGAGUAUGAAUGGGAGAGAGGCAGAGAGAGAGGGAGACACAGAAUCCAAAGCAGGCUCUAGCCUGCUGGGGGUGAUUUUCAUAAGCAACUGACCCAAAAAAUGUUUCCGGCAAACAAAUUCACAGCAAAUUUUGGGCUACAGACAUUAUAAACUUAUGAUCGGGAUAAUGUCUGUUCUCCAGUUAAAAGUAUGUGGUCAAGGGGCUCCUGAGUGGCUGACUUUGGCUCAGGUUAUGAUCUCAAAGUACUUGAGUAAGAGCCCUGCAUAGGGCUCUCUGCUGUCAGCACAGAGCCCACUUCAGAUCCUCUUUCCCCUCUCUCUCUGUCCCUCCCCCACUCACUCUCUCUGUCUCUCUUAAAAUAAAUAAACUUUUCUUAAAAAAAAGUAUGUCGUCAAUAUAUUGCAUUAUAUGUUAAUGUGUGUAUCAGUAUAUGCCGAUAUGUAUUACCCUUACACAUACAGAUACAUAAAUAAGAGGGAGUGAAAACCAUAGCCUUUGCCUUCUCUGUACCCUCUACAGAGAGAUCCUAAGCAGAAUCUUGGUGUUGUUCCAUACAGAAGUGGAGAAGAGUAUUAAACCAUAUUUAAGAAUAAUAAUAAUAAAAGGUAAGUGAUCAAAUGCCCUAAGCAAAUAAGCCCAUUAGUUCAAAAUAUUAUUAUUAUUAUUAUUUUUACUUUUCAUUUUCCUUGGGCAGCAAAAGAAUGACCACCGUCCUCCUCUGACCACCUUGCCACACCGUCUUGUUGUUAUUUAAAUUUGAUACAUAACGAUAAAGCAUCAUCAAGGCACCUCAAUUCAUUUGACUUAAAACUCCCUGGUAUUCUAAGUGCAGUAGCAGUUUCCAACAUGUAGUCCUCUGACUGGGAUUUUAAUGAAAGGAUGUUCUUUUCCUGUUUUUUUUUUUUAUUUGUUUGUUUGUGUGAUUCUGUGAAAAUAUUUAGCCAUUUUCAGCUUCUGAGAUAGUUUUCCAACUAUAAAAUAAAUAUCCGGUGUCAAGCAUUUCUGCUUCAGAAUGAAAUGAGAAGCGAAAGGCAGUAUCCAUUAAUUUAUAAUUAAACUGAUUGGGAAAGGGAAGCACAUGCUAGCAGAUUGGUCCUCGGUGACUGAUACGCUCCCUGCCACAGAGCCACUGCUGGAGGAUGAUUUAUUAUUUUUCCUAAUGUUCCUCAUUCUCGUUUCAGCCGAGAAGGUCACCCACAAAAGACAGAAUCCAGAAAAGAGGCGACACAGUUUGACUUUGGGUGGCUGCCUUUUUUUUCCCUCCUUUUCUUUCACUUAAAUUUCAGUAUUUACAGCUUACCAGUCUUAAAUUUGACACUCAGCAGACAUAAACUGUAUUCUUGAGAGGAUUAAAGGAUUAUUCACUCACUAGCUUAAUCAGAUUAAUCAGAGAUUUUGAACAAGAUAUCUAAUGCCAUUCACAAGAUGAGACGCGUGAUCACUGCCUGCUAGUUGAACUUGGCUUGAGCAGGCACACACACACACACACACACACACGCACGCACACGCAUACACUCAUGUACACGCAAACACAUACAUUGACAUUUUACACACUAUGAUAUUAUUAUUUAAAAAUAUUUGUUUUUAAAAAAGUUUUUUUUCAAUGUUUAUUUUUGAGAGAGAGAGAGACAGAGCAUGAGUGGGGGAGAGGCAGAGAGAGGGAGACACAGAAUUUGAAGCAGGCUCCAGGCUCUGAGCUGUCAGCACAGAGCCGGAGGCAGGGCUCGAACCCACCAACUGUGAGAACAUGACCUGAGCCAAAGUUGGAGGCUUAACCAACUGAGCCAGCCAGGUGCCCCCAAAAUACUUGUUUUUUAAUCAUAAUCAAUUAGCUUCUAAUGCUUACUUUAUCUAAUGAGAGAAAGAAAAAAAAAGGUUAUGUGCCUCUAUAUUUUCUAAUGCUAUUUAGAUUUGAAUUACUUUGUUCAUUAUGGGUUGAAUUUAUUUUUAUAACUGCCUAUUUAUUGUCAUAUCAUUCUUUAAAAGAAUCUCUGGAACUUUUUAAGGAAAAAUAAUUAUUUCCAUUUUUUACAUCCAUAGGAAGUAACCCUUGAAAUCUGAAUAUUACUGAAUUAAGUUACAGUGUGAGAAUAAAAGAUAACCUGAAAAAUAGAUUUAUUUGUUAUUAAUAAACAAUAAUAAUUAUUGUUUUUCCAUUCCUAUCAGGAGCUUAAAUUCUAUUCUACAUUUAUUUUAAUAAGCUCCUUUUUCGGCGGGAACAGGAGGCAGCAAAGACCCUUUGUACUGCAGACAUAUUAAACCAGGAUGGGACCAACUGUCCCAUUGUAGGAACUCUUAUUUGAAAGCAGCCUGAGUUAAGCAGAUUUUGUUGGAUUUACUUUCAUUUGGGUCUUAUGCUAUUUGGAGGAUAGAAAAUGUAAUAUUGGAAGUAUUCUCAAAGAUAGGAAGAAGCAAAAUUAAAAUGUGAGCCCUAUGCGUCCACUCUAUUAAUCAAAAUCACCUGAUCUAGGAACUCCUGUGAGACCCUGGGAGCAGAAUUUAGUUAUUGGUCUAUAUUGGCAUAGUGGUUCAGAAGGCUGUGGAGUUUGAUGUUCUUGCUUCCCAACUAGAAUCUUAUCUCUGACGGUUAUACAAUUAUUAUGAAAUCUUCAUUAAUCUGUAUAAUGCUCAUUAAUGUUUGCUGGUGAUGCUGUCUCAAUAUAGAAUACGAAUACCUGAUAUUUAAGCUUGUAUUGUGUCUCCGAUGUUUUGAAGUCCUUUCACAGAUUACAGCAACCCCAUGAAAUAACAAAGCAUUGCAAUACCUAUUUUAUAGCUACAGAGAGAAAAAGUGCUUUAUCCAAGGUUAAGCAAUAGAAUUAGGGCCAAUAUCCAAGUCUUUUAGUUUUGAGUCCAAAAUAAUGCCACUCUUUCUCCUGUUGCGGAGGUGUUGUCUCAGUAAUGGCUGUGGGUUUGGAUGGCUCCAGCAACACCUACCCUGCCCAAAGAAUAUGUGUGUGUAUGUGUGUGUGUGUGUGUGUGUGUGUGUGUGUGUGUGUGUGUGUGAUGGGACACAGCUUAGUAAGUUUAUAGGUAUGGUUUGCAGCAAUGAAAUAAAAUAAACAAUAGUUCCAACUUAGCAAACACUGGAAACCAAAAACAGCCAAUAAAAGUGAACAAUGAAUUUUGGUCAGUUUCCUGGGCUUUUGAGCUGCAAUGAGAUUUUAUGGCUACGCCACAGCCAAAAGUUAGCAAAGGAUGAAAUCACGAGCCACUAUUUCACUGCUCAUCGGAGCAGUCGGAACGCUGGCUAACUUUUACAGUGUUUACGAUUUGCGAUGCACAUAACCUAUAUUAUCUCAUCUAAUCCUGAGGUACGUUCCUCAUUGUCAUCCCUUUUCAAGUGGAGAAACAGGAACACAGAGAAUUUAAGCAACGUGCACAAGGUCUCAGGGUUACCAAGUGGCAGGUGGAGCCUACAGCUGGACGCAGGAUGUCUGUUCUUCAUCACCGUGCCCACUUCCCUGCCAUCAAAUAUGCAUUUACAGUUCUGGCUGCUUUACAAAAUAUGAUUUCUACACUGACACCUAGUAAUCUUCAUUGUUGCGCUGUGUAUGUAUUUGUAGUCCUUUUACCAGAAAUGGUGACGCCUGUUCUGGUUUCAUUUCAGUCAUAGCAUGCUUUAAGGGCUUAGUCCGAACCAGAUACAUGUGAGAUGUUUUCUCAUUCAUCUCAGUUAAUCCUCACUUGGGAGAUUGGAAUUGUUUUGCUCAUUGGCAGAUAGAGAAUGUGAAACUGGGAGAAAGUAAGCAACCUGCCGAAGUACAAGGCCAAGUAAAAAGGCUGCAAUUCAACCCCAGCCUGAUUCCAUGCCCUCUUGGCCUCUCCCUGCACCUGAACAUGAGGCCGCAGUUGGGGGCAGGGAGGGGGGUGGGGGCAGCGCAGUGAGCUUUUCAGCCUAGCCUUGCUAGAAGGGACAGAACCAGCACACAAAAUAAAAACAUUCCAGAUUUGCAGGAUUACCUUCUCCCCACAUGGGGGCCAGGAAGUCUCCUCUCUCUUAGCAUGUUUCAUUAACACUAAGUAAUCAAGCCCAGUUUCCCUUUCCUUUUCCUGGGCCCUAGUAAUCUUUUUCACUUUAUAAAACUACAUUUUUAUUUUUAAUCAAAUGCACUAUAUUAUUUCUGAUUCUCUUCUUUCCUUUUGGAGAGGGUGAACCGUAUUUGGUUUUCAAUUUGCAUCCCUGUAAAUGGUUUUUGCUCCAAAAGCACAGAACAAUGUGAUGUUACAAAGAUCAAGAUCAUCUGUUUAACUAGGGUAGAGCUAAUCCCAAACUUAUUCCUAUCUGUGCUGGGUAGAAAAAGGAUAAACAUUGGGGAGAAUGCUGGUAUUUUUAAAAAUCCAUGUGCUAUGUUCAGGGACCAGGAAUUAUUUUAGACAGGCAUGACUAAUUUUUUCUUGUGUUUAACUAUCAUUUGCAAAAUAUCUCAAGUAUAGUGAGCACAAGAGCCUCUCAAAUACACACAUUUCCUGCACAUAUCCACACCUUCACACAGUGUUAUGGGCACACAUUUCCUUAAUGCCCCAAAGUGAAAAAAAAAAAGCUGGUUUAAGAAUAAACCUCUUCUCUGAAAAAACAUUUGCAUUGGAUUAAAACCACACUAAAUUUCUUCCUCUAAAAAUAUUUGGUAGUGACUUUAUUCUGUUAAGAGCAGUUGUUUUAUUUCACAGAAAAUGUAAAUAAAGCCAUACCAUCAUGGGAGUUGAUGGGUUUUAUAAAUGAACUUACAAAAAUGAAGUUGGUCUGUUUGAUACAUUAUUGUCUUUAUUCAACUAUCCACUGGAAAGGUCCCUAAUAUGUCAACUAACAUGGAAUGGAAUAACAGUGGAAUAACUUUGGGCUUGGUGUAGGAAGUUAUUUGGAUGCAAUUGCUUUUUGAGGAGAUGUAAGCAGCUUGUGUGUGUGUGUGUGUGUGUGUGUGUGUGUGUGUGUGUGUGAUUUCUCAUAGUCACUUUUUUUUACAACUACUCUGUUGUAGCUUAUUCUGCACUCCCAAUAAAGGCUAAUACUUCUGGAAGAGCCAGAUCCUUGAGAAAUGGUGUGUACGAGAUUGUGGACUUAGCAUUUCAUGGAGAGAGAAAUCCUGUGCCGUUUUAACAUAGACCAAAGAGAUUAUGUGACUUAGUGGGCUCUGGGAUCACUUAUAUUUAGUGUGUGAGCGAAGAUAUUGGAUCUCAGUAAUUGCAACAAUUGGGUUAACAUGGCAGUUAUUCGAAAUGAAUGACUCAUGUAGGUGAGCCUUCAAGGUUAUGGGUCACUGAAAAGCUUUCCCUAGAUUCUGCAUACAGCUGCUCACUGAUCGGGGCUUUCCUACAUUGCUGGGGUCUCCUGGUGGCAAAGGCCAAGCUCCUCUCUCUUCUGUGUGUGUGUGUGUGUGUGUGUGUGUGUGUGCAUGUGUGUAUGUGAGAGAGAGAGAGAGAGAGAGAGAGAGAGAGAGAAUGUGUGUGUCCAUGUGAGAAGAGACUUCUCAUCUCAGGUGUACUGUUUAUGGAAAGAGCAGUGAAGACAGGGGACGUGGGCUUCUUAGUGAAUCUGCUUAUAAGUAUUUAUUUAUUUAUUUAUUUAUCAUAAGCCUGCUGCUGCUGGAGUUUUGGAAAUGUCCUAUAUCCGGCCCUGGGUAAGUAUUUAUAUGUAAAAACCAAAAUAUACAUUUAAGAUGUAAGUGCUCUACUAUAUGUAAGUUACACCUAUGUAAUCAAAAAGUUGAGAAUCACUUCAUUUACAAAUAACGUGUUAUUUUGUCAGUAUUAAUUUUUGCACAUGUUACAGUUUCACUUAGUUUUCUUUUGGACCCUCUCGGAAUUCCUAACAGUAAGUGACAAUGGUGGUUUGGGAGAAGAUGCACAUUUUUAACAGCCAUCAGUUGGAUCUCUGAGCUGCGCUUGCUCAGCUCUUCAGACGUGUCCCCAGCCUUCCACAUUAUGUCUCUUUCGCAAUGGAGAGUUUGCUAAAAGAAAUUUUUCUAGAGUUCCAUCGUACUUGGGGUUUUCCAUUCUUGGUAAACAGUGCCUCGGUCCCUUAUGUUUGACACACAGGUGGUCCCCUUCCUGCGAUUAUUGUAGAAAAACAAUGUAGAAUUGUAAAAUAUGUAAAACGAACCAGAAAUCCUUAAAUGAAAAAGAAUGAGGCCAAUACAAUGGAAGCCAUGAUCCCAAUAACAGAAAAUAGGAUCAUGUCGCUUUAUUUCUGAGCAGCUGGCCCUCCUGACCUCUUAAAAAAGCAACACAUUAAUGAUGCAUUCGCAAACAACUUGUUUUUACCUUGUGCUGACAGUCAGGCAAGUGGGAGGUUAGAGAAAAGAAGGGAAGGCCAGGCAAGGGGAUUGCUUUGCUGUACAGUCUUGGUUUCCCGGCCUUGGCUGAUGGAAUUAUUGUUUAUUUUUUUAAUUUUCAGAGGUAGGCUGAUGACAGCUGAAGAAGACUGUAUUUGCUGAGGAGCAGCAUGAUGGUAGAGAGGAGCAGAGCUCCUGAGGGAGACCUAAUGGUUCCUCUCCUUCCUGCACGGAGAUAAAGACUUAUAAUAAGCGUGCAUGUUCACCAUCUGGCUCUGUGCAUGUGGUCCUUAUGGAGGGGAAAGCAGCACAAUCUGUAAAUGAUCAGGAGCCAUGGCGCUCUCUCCAGAGAAUCCACGAUGCAAUCAAGGUGACAGAUGGCAUGGCCACUGCUGUGGCCUCAUGGAGAAGAUCAAAAUCACCUUCAAUAAACUCUGACUGAAAUGGGCAUGAGCACCUCAAAAAAGUCAGUUUGUCAGUCAAACUGCGACAGCAAGCUGCAUUGGGGAAACAUAGCGGCCAGCUCUCUGUUUUCAAUCGUUUCCGUCUGACUGGGCCUGAACUAUGAUCUUUCUCAAAUUGUCCUUUCUGUUUAGCUGAAGCAGGCCAGCAAAUUGCCAGAUUCAUUGCUUUAUUGAAGAAAAUUGAAAACACGAUGUCCUCAAUUCCGGGGACGCACGACUGGCAGGUGCUGGGACACCCAAGCGCUGAGAGUAGAUCCCCGUGUCUUCAGCCCAAGUUUGCUCAACUUUAGGCAGAUUUUUGGAUAUGAAAAUAAAAUGCAAAUAUGUGCCUGGCCUGAAAAGAUCAGCUGGCAAUGGAUAUGUGAAGGGUAUUAGAUGUCCAAUAAAUGUGUGUAGAAUAAACACAUGCUUGAAAGGAAAAGGAGGAAGGGAGGAAGGAAGGAAAGAGACAAAGUCUCCGUGUUGUUGGUUCCAUGUAUUUUGACAGCAGGCUGCCUUGAUGAUAGAUUCGCUCUCCAUUUCCUUUUCUGUGCAUGUUUAUCGAAUAUAGAUUGCUGUGAACUUGAAGCCUGGGACAUAAGAUCAGUGAAAUACAGGUGUAACAUUUUGUCCUAAACAAAUUGUAUAGAAUUUGUAGAGGUCAACGAGUUCAGACAAAUUUCGGUUUUUGACCCCCUUCCUUCCACAGCUGAAACAUUUUUGAAAGGUCCAACUGCUCAUAAAACUAGAAGGGGAUGAGUAAAAGUUACCUGUAGUGGGAGAAAAAUACUGUACUGUCUUUUUGAGAGGUAAGGGCACUGAUUUCAGGUCAAAGAUGAUGGAUCUUAAUGAAAGGACUCUCCCCCUCCCUCUCCCUCCUCCUCCCUUGGCAGAGUUCCACUGUUGUUCUUCCUCCCAAGCUCCAGGAAAUGUACAUUUCAAGCAAAAGUCGACUUUCCCAACCUUGUGGUUUCCCCAGAACCCUGUAUCUGUUCUCUGAUCCUGGUGUUUUAUAUUAUUAAGCCUGUGAGGAGAUCUCACAAUUCCAACAUCCCAUUGAUUUUCCUACUCGAGACCAUAAUCUUCUAGUUUGCAUACUUGCUUUAUUUAAAAUCCAAAUCCUGCUCCUGCCCCUGUCCCCAUACUCCAUGUUGUAAAUUAUUUGCUUGACAGCUGAGAAAUAUCUUACUAUUGGGUCCUGGAUUCUCAUAAUGGCUUUCUUUUCCCUCAUAGUUGCUUCUGAAUGCUAAUGUCCUGCUGUAGAGAUUUACAAACAACUGAAGGACUUCAGCUCUAAUCGGUGUACACAAAGCGAGAGAAACUAUGAAAAGGGGCUCAUAUUUUGAGUAACAGAAAUAGCAAGAACUUCAUAUAAGGACUGUCUUUUCACAGAACAUGUAAGUGUAGCUGACUUGUUAUGUGUCACAGUUCCAUGUGGUCUCCUGGGAGCCAGGGACUAAAUUUAUUCAGGAGGAAAUAUCUAUGGAGUGCUGAACACCUACUAGGUAUAGGCUGUGUCAGGAGCUGAGAAAUAAAACUUCAUAAAGAAAAGUAGGUAUCACACAGCACUUUUAUGGGCAUUCUCCCCUCAGGCUGGCUCUCUGCUGAGCCCGUUUGCAUUCUCAUCAAUAAUAGCUCUUGUGGAACACAGGACCCAGACGUGUGGGCUGGUGGGAGCAUGCUGUCCUGUCCCUGGAGACGCUGUGUGUAUUCUCCAUCCUGGCCUUUGGCUCUCUGGAAUGACAGGGUCUGUAAUAGACAUGUUCAUCAACACGGCCACAAGGAGGGGUGGCAGGAUGGGUCAUUUCUGUCUAUCGGUAGCAGUUUCUUCCCCCCAGACUCCAGCUGCUCACAUGGAGUUAUGCUUCAGAAAGGCAAAUGGGUCUAAUCCUUUCCUUAAGGAAAGGCCCCAUAAUCAUAUGGGGAAAUUCAGCAGGGGCCAGAAGGCUGAAGUAGCCUACACUGGAACACGAAUGUUGCGAGGCAACCAGCAGGAAAUUUAGUAAUCAGAGCUCAGCCUAAAUUCAGAUAAUUACGUUCAAAUUCUCUCUGGCAUGCAGUGUCACCUGAUCGUAUGCAAAUUGUGUAACCAUAUAUCAUUACUCUCUUUUAUGUCCUAUCAUUCCUAAAUAAUAAAUUGCUUAGAGAAAGUUUCUUGUGGUAAUUUGCAAAUGUGAGUCUGAAAGCAGAGCUUUUCCUUUAUAAUGCUGCACAUAUACCCUUGCUCUCUCGGCCCGUGGGUGCGGCAGGUAAGAAGAUAUGCAGAUCUUCAGAUCCCACAGGCUCUGAAACUCACAAGGAGGAUGGCUUGUGGUCAGAAUAUGGACAGUAGCUGCAACAUGGACUGAAUAAUUUUUAAUCAUGGAGAAUGCUUUUUAUUUUAAUGUUUUGAAAGAUUGACACAAUGCUGAAAGGAGAGGCUACACAGAAAUUUUAAAAGGUGCACACAAGAAGAUAAGCAAUCUAUUAAAAACUCAGAUUUUGAAAGCAUGCCAUUGGCCUGAAAUGGCCUUGGGGUAACAGUAAUAAAUGAAUGUUCAUUUCCCAAGUUCUCCGUGCACCAAGCCGUUUGGACUUCUCAAGAGGACAAUGCUGUCUUCUUUCAAAAGAGGGAGUAGAUGGCUUGCUACCACUAAAACAGCUCAGACAUAGCUCUACUGAUUUGGGAACAAAGAAAUGGAAUGUGGUUUUGUGUGUGUAGGAUGUCAUCAUAUGAGCUCACACCAGCUCUAAAUUGGGUAUUUGGAGGCUACUACAUCUUUUGGUCAGAUUUCAAAUCAAACCGCCAAUGUCUGCAUUUUUCUGUCCAUGCUUCUCUGAACAAGAAUGAUGGUGAAUGAGGAUGCCACCCUGUACCUCAAAUGUUUCUCAAGCUGCUGGUGUGUUUUGGUUCAGCUUUCAUGAUUUUUUAUACCAGUUUGUGACUUAAAAAAAAAAAGCUCUCAGCAAAAUAUUUCUGUUAUAGUAUGAUGUCGUGCUUAGAAAGGUUAAUAAACGUUUUACAGAACACAUU